rnacentral:lncRNA from 1 species
CACGAAUAUAUAAGAUAGACCCAAUAAAUUAUGUUACUGCGCCUUCUGUUUCAUGGGAUGCAAUGCUUAAAUAUACAAAGAUAGAAUUGGAGCUAGUUAGUGAUCCGGAUAUAUAUAACUUUUUGAAAACUUCAGUAUGCGGAGGCUUAACUCAAUGCACUCAACGGAUAGCUACUGCAAAUAAUAAAUAUUUAAAUGAAAGAUUCAGGGCCAGUGAUCCUAUAAACUAUCGAUUUUUUGAUCGAUUUUCGAGAAAAACUUUAAGCAAUCAACGCCUCAAGUCUUUCAUACAUUAAAAAUAUUUUAUUACAAGUUUUUUUUAUAAGUAUUAUGUGUAAACAUAUUAUUAUGUAUUAUAGAUUAUUGAUAUACAAAAAAUUUCAAGAUCACAAAUCAGAUUUUUAUUCUUUUAAGAUGAAAUGUGAGCAAAGUGGCUUUUCGUAUCCGACGGAAACUGUACCUGCUUGUACUGCAAAAUGGCAAACAAAGAACAACGCAUAAUGGCAAAAUAUAGAGAGAGGAAUGUGGAAACCCAUGUCUAGUGUUUUACUUUACCUCUCCCCAAAAUAAAAUGAUAUUAAACUGAAGGCAACAGACCUGCCCAAUGGCAAGUAGGUGAUAAAAAUGGUCACUUCAUCGAUGGAAGGACGGAGGUAAACAUUGUGAUUAAAAAUAGCUCUCUAGAGUAGUUAAAACUGCUCGCUCGAAUUGAACAAAGAAGUAUUCACUUGAUGAAAAUAUGGCCACUUGGGGUGUACGCAUCUAUGGGGUAGUAGGAGUACGCGCAGGUAGUGGGACUUACAGAGAGGAGCAUAAAUAUUUGUUCAAAGAAUUAAACGGGAGGAAAGUGUAGGGUAGUGUAGCGCUGACAGUAGGACGAUCGCAACAGUUGGUUCCACAGCCACCACCAACACCACCAAUACACGCACAAUAGCAGCAGCUGCCGGACGUUGUAUAAGAGUGUAUGCCCAUGUGAGCUGCCUCCUGCCAAAACGCUGCCGACUGUUGUAUACGUGUGAGUUGGUGUGCGUAUUUUACUCCGUUUAAUCCUCCAUUUUGGAGGAGGAUAAACUAUCUAGCGUACAUUGAUGCUAACAAUUUAUAUGGUUGGGCAAUGAGCCAGCCACUUCCAUAUUCCAAUUUCAAAUUUCUAAGUAACGAUGAAAUUCAAUCUUUCAACGCUCUAAGUAUAUCUGUUUGCGAGGAUGUAGGAUACAUCUUAGAAGUAAAUCUGAAAUAUCCUGAUGCUAUACACAAUAAAUAUAAUAGUUUACCAUUCUGCGCCGAAAAUAAGAUUCCUCCAGGCGGAAAACAAUCAAAAUUGAAAGCGGACUUAUCUAAUAAAAAUAAUUAAUACAUUU